UACGAAGGUGGCAAGCGCUGUUCGGAUUUACUGGGCGUACAGGGAGCGUAGGCGGUUGGAUAAGCCCUCCGUGAAAUCUCCAGGCUUAACCUGGAAAGUGCAGAGGGGACUGUUCAGCUAGAGGAUGGGAGAGGAGCGCGGAAUUCCCGGUGUAGCGGUGAAAUGCGUAGAGAUCGGGAGGAACACCGGUGGCGAAGGCGGGUCUCUGGGCCGAUAUUGACGCUGAGGAGCGAAAGCGUGGGGAGCAAACAGG
rnacentral:rRNA from 1 species